GACUAGGUUGCUGAGUGGUUAAGGAAAUGGACUGCUAAUUCAUUGUGCUCUCCACACAUGGGUUGAAUCUUAUCCUUGUCA
rnacentral:tRNA from 1 species